AUCCAACUGACAAGUCCGAAAUAGAAUGAAACAUACGUCCUGGAU
rnacentral:hammerhead_ribozyme from 1 species